rnacentral:misc_RNA from 1 species
GAUGAAGAACGUAGCGAAAUGCGAUAAGUAAUGUGAAUUGCAGAAUUCAGUGAUUCAUCGAAUCUUUGAACGCACAUUGCGCCCGCCAGUAUUCUGGCGGGCAUGCCUGUUCGAGCGUCAUUUCAACCCUCAAGCCCCCGGGCUUGGUGUUGGGGAUCGGCGUGCCCUCGCGGCGCGCCGUCCCCUAAAUCUAGUGGCGGUCUCGCUGUAGCUUCCUCUGCGUAGUAGCAACACUCGCACUGGAUCGCAGCGCGGCCACGCCGUUAAACCCCCCACUUCUGAAAGUUUGACCUCGGAUCAGGUAGGAAUACCCGCUGAACUUAAGCAUAUCAAUAAGCGGAGGA